AGAAGAAAAUGUGAUCUAUGGUGCCUUCGUCUAACCCACAUUCGCACAGUGACGUAUCCCGGACCCGUAUCUUGGCAAGGAAUACAGGCGUACAAACUGGCCCUAAGCGUAAACGGCAAAUUGUAGACGUGACCCAUUUAGGGUAUGCUCGGAAUCUGAAAAACCAUGGUUUACGUGGAAUAUUGGGCUGAAUGUGGCCAUAAUGUUUUCCUACCUCCAAUCUGGAAGAAUUCCAGAGAUUUUGCCACGUGUUAAACAUAUCAGUCUGUGCAUGGUUUAAAAGGUCAGAACUGUAUAUCCUGUCGUGGCCUGGUGAUCCCAUCUCAAUAGCUCUCUUUGCCCAUAAGUCUGCAGACUCAUUUCCAGGAAUGCCACAAUGGCCCGGGAUCCACCCAAGUACUAUUUUUAACCCCUUUGAUUCACAUUUUCUUAGUAAGGUUUUGAUCUGAAGUAUUAAGGGAAAUUUUGCUUUCAUUUUAAACUGAUUGCCCAUAAUAGCUUGCAGACAACUCCUGCUAUCUGUAAAUAUGAACAUUUUUGUUAUAUUGUGAGAAUCCGCGUAUGCUACAGCUUCCAAGAUGGCAACAGCCUCGCCUGUAAAAAUGGAUGAUUGAGGAGGGCACUUAAACAUCAAGACAAUGCUAUAUUUUGGAACCACCACUGCUGCUCCAACACAAUUUGCGGAAUUAUUUUUUGAUGCGUCAGUAAACACUGUGACCAAUGAAGCAAGAGCCCGCAAGCGUGUAAUCAGCAAGUGAUUGGAGUUGGAGAUAGCUCUUAUGAGGAACCUGUCAGCAAGAUAUUGUCUACGCAGCGCCAGAGGAGGCUCCACACAUUCUACUUGCAUGGCAUUUUUUGGAGAAGAUCUCAUGGCACCAAAUGAGGUAUCCCACUCAUUUUCCGAUCCAAGAUGAUACCCAGGAAUUUGGUUGAUUCGUUAUUGGGAAUGCUUUCUUCACCAUAAUGAACAUCUGCAGUUGGCAUGUUCCUUUUGCGACUGAAGGUCACAGCACAGCUCUUGGAAGAAGAGGUUCAGGAGCCGGGGAUGGAAGAACAGAUGAGGGCUUGGAAAUAACAAUGGGAAAGUGAUCGCUGCCAUAGGACUGACGAAGCACAGUCCAAGAUAACAAUGAGGCCAAAUUAGGGGAGCAAGCUGACAAGUCGGGAACGGAUUGUGGGUUCUGGCCUGGAUAGA